CAGCCGCCACGGGAAUACGAAGGGGGCUAGCGUUGUUCGGAUUAACUGGGCGUAAAGGGCGCGUAGGCGGGUUUUUAAGUCAGAGGUGAAAUCCCAAGGCUCAACCUUGGAACUGCCUUUGAUACUGGAAGUCUUGAGUCCGGGAGAGGUGAGUGGAACUGCGAGUGUAGAGGUGAAAUUCGUAGAUAUUCGCAAGAACACCAGUGGCGAAGGCGGCUCACUGGCCCGGUACUGACGCUGAGGCGCGGAAGCGUGGGGAGCAAACAGAAUUAGAUACCCCAGUAGUCCCUGUCUCUUAUAC
rnacentral:rRNA from 1 species